rnacentral:rRNA from 1 species
UACGGAGGGUGCAAGCGUUAAUCGGAAUUACUGGGCGUAAAGGGUGCGUAGGUGGUUGUGUAAGUUAUCUGUGAAAUCCCCGGGCUCAACCUGGGCAGGUCAGAUAAAACUGCAUGACUCGAGUAUAAGAGAGGGUAGUGGAAUUUCCGGUGUAGCGGUGAAAUGCGUAGAGAUCGGAAGGAACACCAGUGGCGAAGGCGGCUACCUGGCUUAAUACUGACACUGAGGCACGAAAGCGUGGGGAGCAAACAGG